AAUUCAAUAGCAUAAAAUACAUGAGCAUAUUUUUUGUCGGUCACGACUUGAAGACGCUAACAAUCUAAUGGUAGGUGACGGAAGGCCAUCUGGAGCCGGACCGACCUUGACAUCGCGACCCUGAGACGCAGGCCCGGCCUCGGCGGCGAGGUUGAGGAUGAAGAUAAGGACCAGGAGGGAGAGGAAGGAGGCUGCAGAGGCGUCCAUUUUCAGGUUAAUUGGAGUGGGAAUUUCCGUCGAUUUGGAAUGGCACACACAUUUCUAUAUACGAAGUUGGUGGCAAUGGUUUUGUCUUCAAUGAUGUCUUGUCACAUGGCCGCCGCCCAUCGCCAGGCAACCGGCGGCCUUCGCCCAAACGUCCACGCUGACG